UACGAAGGGGGCUAGCGUUGCUCGGAAUCACUGGGCGUAAAGCGCACGUAGGCCGAUUGUUAAGUCAGGGGUGAAAUCCUGGAGCUCAACUCCAGAACUGCCCUUGAUACUGACGGUCUCGAGUCCGGGAGAGGUGAGUGGAACUGCGAGUGUAGAGGUGAAAUUCGUAGAUAUUCGCAAGAGCACCAGUGGCGAAGGCGGCUCACUGGCCCGGUACUGACGCUGAGGUGCGAAAGCGUGGGGAGCAAACAGG
rnacentral:rRNA from 1 species